UUGGAGGGCAAGUCUGGUGCCAGCAGCCGCGGUAAUUCCAGCUCCAAUAGCGUAUAUUAAAGUUGUUGCAGUUAAAAAGCUCGUAGUUGAAUUUCGGGGUCAGUAGGUCGGUCAUGCCACUGGUAUGUACUGGUCUCACUGAUUCCUCCUUCCUGAUGAGCCGUAAUGCCAUUAAUUUGGUGUUGCGAGGAAUCUGGACUGUUACUUUGAAAAAAUUAGAGUGUUUAAAGCAAGCUAACGCUUGAAUACAUUAGCAUGGAAUAAUGAAAUAGGACGUUCGAUCCUAUUUUGUUGGUUUCUAGGAUUGACGUAAUGAUUAAUAGGGAUAGUUGGGGGCAUUAGUAUUCAAUUGUCAGAGGUGAAAUUCUUGGAUUUAUUGAAGACUAACUACUGCGAAAGCAUUUGCCAAGGAUGUUUUCAUUAAUCAAGAACGAAAGUUAGGGGAUCGAAGACGAUCAGAUACCGUCGUAGUCUUAACCAUAAACUAUGCCGACUAGGGAUCGGAUGAUGUUAAUUUUUUAAUGACUCAUUCGGCGCCUUACGGGAAACCAAAGUGUUUGGGUUC
rnacentral:rRNA from 1 species